UACAGAGGUCUCAAGCGUUGUUCGGAUUCAUUGGGCGUAAAGGGUGCGUAGGCGGCGCGGUAAGUCGGGUGUGAAAUCUCGGAGCUUAACUCCGAAACUGCAUUCGAUACUGCCGUGCUUGAGGACUGGAGAGGAGACUGGAAUUUACGGUGUAGCGGUGAAAUGCGUAGAUAUCGUGAGGAACACCAGAGGCGAAGGCGGCUACCUGGACAAUUGCUGACGCUCAGGCACGAAAGCGUGGGGAGCAAAAGGG
rnacentral:rRNA from 1 species